GCGAGCUGAUGUCCACUGCAGCGGUGUUUCUGAGCGAGGUGCCGGGAUGGUUUCUGUGGACGGGAGUCUUCGUCCCCGUGACGGCUCUCCUGCUGCUGCUCAUCGCUGUCCUCGGCUGGACACUCAGAGAGAGUAAGACACCCCUCGAAUAACAUCCACACAGAGGAAGAGCUGGCCCUGACACCAGACCCUCGGCGAACAGCCAUUCAUCUGUGUUACGGUCCACGCCGGCGAUGAAGAGCGUCAGUCCAGAUCACACGAGCCGUCAGAGAGCAACGAGAAGCGUGUUAGUGAUGCUCAACUCAAGCCUCCACCUCUCCUCAAACAGCAGACUGGAAGUCCUGAGACACAUGCAUGUUAUUUGGUGUAGUGCAGAAGUGUGUAGUGUUUGUAAUGACUAUCAAAUACUGUAUGCUGUGCACUGAUCACACAUCACUGUACCAACUCUUAUGAAUGCAAAGCCUUCACAGUAUCCUACUCAACUACGUCAAAAAUAUGAAUUUUAGGCUUCAACUUUACCAGGAUAAAUGAGCAAAACCAAAAAGAAUGAGCAAUCUCCUGUUGAACUUGAAGAGGACAUUGUGUCACACGCUAGGACACAAACAACAGCUCGCACGCUCAGACAUCACAAAACUACCAAGGUCUUUGUAUUAUUUCACAGCUCAGCUGCAGCAUAGAGACUGACUGAAAUAAGAACAGCCUCGGAAAACUUCAGUAUUACUUUUGCAAUGAAUAAAAAAUGGUUGAGAGUCUCCAGUUAAAGCAAGAAAAACACUUAAAAUAUGAAACUCAGAAUGGAGAUGAAUCGUAUAUAAGUGAAUAUUGCAAUGUUUUUGUUGUUGAAGUGGACUAUCACUUGUAUCAUGCCUAUAUUUCAGCUUCCAGCCAAAUAGACAUUACUGUAACUCACUGUAUUUUACGGACCAAAGCCAAUUUUUACAUGCAUUUGGAGCUUGGCAUGCAUUAAACGUGCAUUCAGCAGUUUUUUUUUUUUUUUUUCAAGCUUUAGGCAUUAAUAAACAAACAAACAAACAGUGUUUUUGUUUAGAAUAAUCUGAAUGGUGCACACUCACA
ensembl:lncRNA